rnacentral:rRNA from 1 species
UGUGCCAGCAGCCGCGGUAAUACGUAGGGUGCGAGCGUUGUCCGGAAUUAUUGGGCGUAAAGAGCUUGUAGGCGGUUUGCCGCGUCUGCUGUGAAAGCCCGGGGCUUAACCCCGGGUCUGCAGUGGGUACGGGCAGGCUAGAGUGUGGUAGGGGAGACUGGAAUUCCUGGUGUAGCGGUGGAAUGCGCAGAUAUCAGGAGGAACACCGAUGGCGAAGGCAGGUCUCUGGGCCACUACUGACACUGAGAAGCGAAAGCGUGGGGAGCGAACAG